UGCUCUGGGGGCCUAGUGGUUAGAGUAUCUGCCUCAGAUGCAGGAGGUCGUGGGUUCGAUCCCCGGUUGAGUCA